rnacentral:rRNA from 1 species
AACGAACGCUGGCGGCAUGCCUAACACAUGCAAGUCGAACGAGAUCUUCGGGUCUAGUGGCGCACGGGUGCGUAACGCGUGGGAAUCUGCCCUCAGGUUCGGAAUAACCAUUGGAAACGAUGGCUAAUACCGGAUGAUGACGUUAAGUCCAAAGAUUUAUCGCCUGAGGAUGAGCCCGCGUAGGAUUAGCUAGUUGGUGUGGUAGAGGCGCACCAAGGCGACGAUCCUUAGCUGGUCUGAGAGGAUGAUCAGCCACACUGGGACUGAGACACGGCCCAGACUCCUACGGGGGGCAGCAGUGGGGAAUAUUGGACAAUGGGCGCAAGCCUGAUCCAGCAAUGCCGCGUGAGUGAUGAAGGCCUUAGGGUUGUAAAGCUCUUUUACCCGGGAUGAUAAUGACAGUACCGGGAGAAUAAGCUCCGGCUAACUCCGUGCCAGCAGCCGCGGUAA